rnacentral:rRNA from 1 species
UACGGGGGGGCAAGCGUUGUUCGGAAUUACUGGGCGUAAAGGGCUCGUAGGUGGCCAACUAAGUCAUACGUGAAAUCCCUCGGCUUAACCGGGGAACUGCGUCUGAUACUGGAUGGCUUGAGUUUGGGAGAGGGACGCGGAAUUCCAGGUGUAGCGGUGAAAUGACGUAGAUAUCUGGAGGAACACCGGUGGCGAAGGCGGCGUCCUGGACCAACACUGACACUGAGGAGCGAAAGCCA